UUUGAAUAGCUUAUGAAGAGCGUAAUAUUGAAGAUAUUAAAGAGGUAUUUUUACUUUCAAGUAU
rnacentral:tRNA from 1 species